UACGUAGGGGGCAAGCGUUGUCCGGAUUUAUUGGGCGUAAAGAGCGUGUAGGCGGCUAGAUAGGUCCGUUGUGAAAACUCGAGGCUCAACCUCGAGACGUCGAUGGAAACCAUCUGGCUAGAGUCCGGAAGAGGAGAGUGGAAUUCCUGGUGUAGCGGUGAAAUGCGCAGAUAUCAGGAAGAACACCCGUGGCGAAGGCGGUUGCCUGGAGCUUUGCUGACGCUGAGGCGCGAAAGCGUGGGGAGCGAUCAGG
rnacentral:rRNA from 1 species